CCAGGUGGGCAUCUGGCUG
rnacentral:piRNA from 1 species